rnacentral:rRNA from 1 species
UGGGGAAUUUUGGACAAUGGGCGCAAGCCUGAUCCAGCCGUGCCGCGUGCGGGAAGAAGGCCUUCGGGUUGUAAACCGCUUUUGUCAGGGAAGAAAAGGUUCUGGCUAAUACCUGGGACUCAUGACGGUACCUGAAGAAUAAGCACCGGCUAACUACGUGCCAGCAGCCGCGGUAAUACGUAGGGUGCAAGCGUUAAUCGGAAUUACUGGGCGUAAAGCGUGCGCAGGCGGUUAUGCAAGACAGAGGUGAAAUCCCGGGCUCAACCUGGGAACUGCCUUUGUGACUGCAUGGCUAGAGUACGGUAGAGGGGGAUGGGAAUUCCGCGUGUAGCAGUGAAAUGCGUAGAUAUGCGGAGGAACACCGAUGGCGAAGGGCAAUCCCCCUGGACCUGUACUGACGCUCAUGCACGAAAGCGUGGGGAGCAAACAGGAUUAGAUACCCUGGUAGUCCACGCCCUAAACGAUGUCAACUGGUUGUUGGGAGGGUUUCUCUCAGU